AUGCUCCCGUGUGGCGGCCACAUGGC
rnacentral:rRNA from 1 species